CCUACGGGAGGCAGCAGUGAGGAAUAUUUGUCAAUGGACGAAAGUCUGAACCAGCCAAGUCGCGUGAAGGAUGACUGCCCUAUGGUUUGUAAACUUCUUUUAUAUGGGAAUAAAAUCUUCCUCGUGUGGCAUUUUGUAUGUACCAUAUGAAUAAGCAUCGGCUAACUCCGUGCCAGCAGCCGCGGUAAUACGGAGGCUCCGAGCGUUAUCCGGAUUUCUUGGGUUUAAAGGGAGCGUAGGUGGAUUGUUAAGUCAGUUGUGAAAGUUUGCGGCUCAACCGUAAAAGUGCAGUUGAAACUGGCAGUCUUGAGUACAGUAGAGGUGGGCGGAAUGCGUGGUGUAGCGGUGAAAUGCUUAGAUAUCACGAAGAACUCCGAUUGCGAAGGCAGCUCACUGGACUGCAACUGACACUGAGGCUCGAAAGUGUGGGUAUCAAACAGGAUUAGAUACCCGAGUAGUC
rnacentral:rRNA from 1 species